ACUCAUCCUUGUGGCCAGUAAUGAUACUGUGAGGUCUGACCAUGAGCAGAUCAGAAGUGACUAUAAGGCUCUGGGAGUAAGGGUGAAGGAGCUGGGAGGGGAGGGGGUCGGGGAGGCAGGUGGUGUUCUCUCUGAUCCUUCUAGUUAAGGGUAGGGGCCCAGGCAGAGACAGAUGCAUCCCAGAAAUGAAUGCCUGAUUCCAAGGAUGUCAUCGCCAGGAGCACUUCAGCUUCCUUGAUCACAGGAUGCUGUUCUAAGAAGGAGGAUUGCUAAGCAGAGAUGGGGUCCACCUAUCGAGGAAGGAAAAGAGUAUACUUAGAUACAGACUGGCUAACCUAGGGAAGAGGGCUUUAAACUAGGUUCGAUGGGGCAGGUGACAAAAGCCCACAGCUUUGUCAAAAGCAUGGAGAUCUGGGAGAACGGUCAGGAUCUGGGGAAAGCAUGAGCUGUUGUAGCAGGGACAAGGGAGAGAAGAGAAAACAUAGCGGGGGGGCAUGCAGGAGGAA